GCACUAAUAGCUCAGUCCUCAGAGCGUCG
rnacentral:tRNA from 1 species